rnacentral:snoRNA from 1 species
AUGCACAAUUCAUUGUCCUGCUCUUCUUAUUGAGAGUAGUGAUAUUUCUUUUGUGCUAGAAAAGUUGGAGGUAAAUUAGCAGAGUGGCUACUUGGUGCCACCUCUGCCAGUCCCCUUCACACAGUG